rnacentral:rRNA from 1 species
GCAAGUCGAGCGGUAAGGCCCUUCGGGGUACACGAGCGGCGAACGGGUGAGUAACACGUGAGCAACCUGCCCCUGACUCCGGGAUAAGCGGUGGAAACGCCGUCUAAUACCGGAUAUGACCUGUCACCUCAUGGUGGCGGGUGGAAAGUUUUAUCGGUCAGGGAUGGGCUCGCGGCCUAUCAGCUUGUUGGUGGGGUAACGGCCUACCAAGGCGAUUACGGGUAGCCGGCCUGAGAGGGCGACCGGCCACACUGGGACUGAGACACGGCCCAGACUCCUGCGGGAGGCAGCAGUGGGGAAUAUUGCACAAUGGGCGAAAGCCUGAUGCAGCGACGCCGCGUGGGGGAUGACGGCCUUCGGGUUGUAAACCUCUUUUACCACCAACGCAGGCUCCGGGUUCUCCCGGGGUUGACGGUAGGUGGGGAAUAAGGACCGGCUAACUACGUGCCAGCAGCCGCGGUAAUACGUAGGGUCCGAGCGUUGUCCGGAAUUAUUGGGCGUAAAGAGCUCGUAGGCGGCAUGUCGCGUCUGCUGUGAAAGACCGGGGCUUAACUCCGGUUCUGCAGUGGAUACGGGCAUGCUAGAGGUAGGUAGGGGAAACUGGAAUUCCUGGUGUAGCGGUGAAAUGCGCAGAUAUCAGGAGGAACA